rnacentral:rRNA from 1 species
UACGAAGGGGGCUAGCGUUGCUCGGAAUCACUGGGCGUAAAGGGUGCGUAGGCGGGUCUUUAAGUCAGGGGUGAAAUCCUGGAGCUCAACUCCAGAACUGCCUUUGAUACUGAAGAUCUUGAGUUCGGGAGAGGUGAGUGGAACUGCGAGUGUAGAGGUGAAAUUCGUAGAUAUUCGCAAGAACACCAGUGGCGAAGGCGGACUCACUGGCCCGGUACUGACGCUGAGGUGCGAAAGCGGUGGGGAGCAAACAGGG